rnacentral:ncRNA from 1 species
UUCUUCGGGGUCGGGUGUAAUUCCCAACCGGCGGUAUAGUCCGCGACCUGCUGUUUUUACAGUGGCUGAACUGGUGAGAUUCCAGUACCGACAGUAAAGUCUGGAUGAGAGAAGAA